rnacentral:rRNA from 1 species
GGCGAACGGGUGAGUAACACGUGGGUAAUCUGCCCUGCACUCUGGGAUAAGCCUGGGAAACUGGGUCUAAUACUGGAUAUGACCUUUCUCCUUAUGGGGCUUGGUGGAAAGUUUUUCGGUGUAGGAUGAGCCCGCGGCCUAUCAGCUUGUUGGUGGGGUGAUGGCCUACCAAGGCGACGACGGGUAGCCGGCCUGAGAGGGUGAUCGGCCACAUUGGGACUGAGAUACGGCCCAG